CCCAAACCCCUGAAAUAAAAAAGAAACAACAAAACAACAACCAGUAUUACAGUCAGUGUCCACUGCAUUCACUGUUUUCCUCAAGUAUGAUGCAACCUGGUGAGAGUUCCUGUGCCAUGGAAACAGUUCACCAGGUACAGGUAAUUUGUUAUCUGGAGGAGUUUGGGGGUUUGGAACAGGGGUGGAGACAGCAUCACCUGCAUCAUUUCUCUGAGGUGAGAGUAAUUCCUGACGAUCUCGUUCUCGCUCUCGACCUGGCCUGAAUGCUUCCAGUAGCGCUUCUACUCGAUCAUCAGUGGGUCCCCAGCGCUGGUACCCUGCAUUAUUUUGCAGCCAAACUACCAGAGUCCCAUGUGCUGACCUCACAUUCAAUUCACUCCUAUAAUAAUAAUUGAAUGGUGAUAAAAACAUGAAUGUUAUAUGGUGUGCGUGCACGUGUACAUAUACUGAUCCGAACCAGCGCGCAUUCCGUAUCACCGGUCAGAAGCAUGAUGCCUCAGACCGAACGGCUAUGGCGAAAGUUAUGGCCUUGACAACUAACCCCUACACAAAGGAUUGGUGUCUCAGUUACAGUUACAUUGCUAUACACUUGGACAUGGCCUUCAGCUUCAUGCGAACAGCUGCACUGUUUGACUUAUGAGCACAACACAUUUUGAACUUCUGUGCACACAAGAUCAUGUGUUUCCUACAGAAAUACAUCUAUACUUUUCCAUGUUUCAAGGAAGAUGUAGAAAAAGCUGAACAGUGUAUUAGAUAGAAUACACUAAUAGUACAGUGGAUGUUAAAGAAACAUGGUUUGAGGAUGUGGACUGGAUUCAUCUGGCUUAUGAACAUGCAUUUGUCUUUAUUGAAUUUCUUACUCCAGAAGAGAACAGAUGGUAGAAUAAUUAAGAGUGGUGAAUCAAGUUGUAAUGGGAGGAAGAACUGAAAUGUUAUAAGGAACAACAUUGGUAUUCUUGGCAAAACUGAAAGGAAUAUGCCAGAAUAAUCAACCUAAAGAUAUAAACAGUGCAACUUCCAAAAACAAAUCAGCUCAAACACACAAGAGAGUGGAUUCUUUAAAAUACAAGAAAGGGAUAAAUUUCUGGCACGCGUCAUGACAGGAGACAAUGUGACUGCACCACACUGAACCAGAAGCAAAGAGACAGUGAAUGAAUGGAGCGGCAUCAUGCAAAUUCUCCACGGAACUUCAGGGCUGCACCUUCUAUGAAUAAGGUGAUCAGAAUUAAUGAACAAUUUUUACAAACAGUGUUUCUCAUAUUAAUGUGUGAUGAAUCUUUCAUGUAAACAUUUAGUAGUCAAUGAACACUGUGUGAACAUUUGAUGUCCUGUUGCAGAGCAGUAAGGUACAAAGCAAAUUGUGUUUAUCUACUUACCAUGUGCAUGCUUUGUUUAUAAACAAAAAUAAACAUCUAUAAUAAAUAUAUCUGAUAUUUUACUAAUAAGAAAAGGUAAUGUAUUGAUAUCUCAUUAAUUGCUUUAUGUAGUUUCAAUUUUCAGUUAAUAAAUACAGUUUUACCAUUAAAGACUUAAAUUAUGUAGCCUAUUUAUAUUUUCAUUUACGCAUAGAUUUAGAGUGGCCCAAAGAAAAAAUGUUAAAUUUAACAGAGAAAUAGAAGUUGUGGAAAUGGUUUAUGAAAUGUCAUGUCAGAAGAUUAUAAAAAUCAAACUGUGUCUAACUA